rnacentral:ncRNA from 1 species
AAAGAGUAGAAGCGUUCAGCGCAAUCGCCCGGCGCCGUCCGGCCCGAUUGGCGGGUCAUUGCUCUUGAA